rnacentral:rRNA from 1 species
GCAGACUAGAGUGANGUAGGGGAGANUGGAAUUCCUGGUGUAGCGGUGAAAUGCGCAGAUAUCAGGAGGAACACCGAUGGCGAAGGCAGNUCUCUGGNCAUUAACUGACGCUGAGGAGCGAAAGCAUGGGGAGCGAACAGGAUUAGAUACCCUGGUAGUCCAUGCCGUAAACGUUGGGCACUAGGUGUGGGGGACAUUCCACGUUUUCCGCGCNGUAGCUAACGCAUUAAGUNCCCCGCCUGGGGAGUACGGCCGCAAGGCUAAAACUCAAAGGAAUUGACGGGGGCCCGCACAAGCGGCGGAGCAUGCGGAUUAAUUCGAUGCAACGCGAAGAACCUUACCAAGGCUUGACAUGAACCGGAAAGAUCNGGAAACAGNUCCCCCACUNGNNNNNNGUUNACAGGUGGUGCAUGGUUGUCGUCAGCUCGUGUCGUGAGAUGUUGGGUUAAGUCCCGCAACGAGCGCAACCCUCGUUCUAUGUUGCCAGCACGUGAUGGUGGGGACUCAUAGGAGACUGCCGGGGUCAACUCGGAGGAAGGUGGGGACGACGUCAAAUCAUCAUGCCCCUUAUGUCUUGGGCUUCACGCAUGCUACAAUGGCCGGUACAAAGGGUUGCGAUACNGUGAGGUGGAGCUAAUCCCAAAAAGCCGGUCUCAGUUCGGAUUGGGGUCUGCAACUCGACCCCAUGAAGUCGGAGUCGCUAGUAAUCGCAGAUCAGCAACGCUGCGGUGAAUACGUUCCCGGGCCUUGUACACACCGCCCGUCAAGUCACGAAAGNUNUGGUAACACCCGAAGCCGGU